rnacentral:pre_miRNA from 1 species
UUCUUGAUCUUGCGAGUGAUUCCGAUGAAUAAGACAUGAAUCAUUCUCUAGAUCUGGACUG